UGCUAAUAAUUUAAGCUGUUUAUGUAUACCUGAGACACCGUUAACUGACAUUUUUUACAACCUGCUGAAGUAAUGACAAAGACAAAUAUUUAUUAAAUAUCUUGCUGGUUUGUUUUGUUGGGGACAAACUGGGGUGUGGACGACGUUAAAGCUAAGAUCAUAAAAGAACUGGAUUCAUUCUAGGCUACGCAACUAAAAAUACAUAAAUCAUCUGCUUAACUGCAUUGUAAGGAUGUAGGUGUUAUAAAUAUCUAGUUGAAACACAGGAUUUCUCUGCAGGGGAGGCAUGCACUGCCCGAGUUUGAAGUAUAACAUGGGAUUUCUCUCCAGAGCAGCCAUGCACUGCCCAGGCUGGAAGUAUGCUCAACCACAAGGAUCAGGGCUGGGAGAGGCGCUUCGGUAGCAAGAAGGUGCCUCUGAAAACCAGCAUUGGGAUGGAGAGGGCUGAAGGCAAGUGCUGGAUGUGACCAUGGGCAGCUUUCAGGCUGGGAGCACGGAUGCCAAGAACCCAAAACACCAAAAAAACUGGUGCUUAGAACCACAGGUCCAAGAACUGAAGGAAGAAAAUGAAACAAUUUAUUUUCAGUACUGUAAACACUGCUGCUAUUCUCUUAGAUGUUUUUCUUCCAUGAUAUACCCUGUAUUGGUUUGUAUAGAUUAGCACAUUAGGUUUCAGAAGUCAUUUUAAACUCCAUCUUCAUCCUCCAUAUUUGAAAUAUUUAAAAUCUACAGAUUUUCAGGUCAAAGUUGUAGAGAUAAGUAAGCUAGAAAACAAUAAUAGAAAACAUGAGAUGAUUGGUCUCAAAUUCCAAACAGGUGACUUGAGAUGUCCUAGAGAAAGCAGCUGGAGUCAUAGCACCUUUGUCUCUAACAGCCGAUACACUCAGAGGCUCAUGUGCUUCUGUGCGUCACCCCCAAUCGCCCUGACAGGUGCACAACUCAACAAAAUAUACUCAUUUAAAACAUCCAAAUAUGUUGACUGAGUGCCUGCUAUGUGGAAAACAUUUUCCUGGGAACUCUGGGGAAAGGAAACACUCAUUUUGAUAUAGAUUAUAAUCUGAAAUCCAUCACAGCUGAUAUUCCACACGAUGGUGUAGCAGACACUUUCCAAGGUCACCACCCAUCUCACAAAAGGAAAUUAAAUCUGAUUCACAGAGCAGACCACAAAGAGCAUGUCUGGACCUAGAACCACAGCAUGUAACCUCGGAAGCAGUGAGACACCAGCCAGCAUGGACAAGCAGCAGGCACUUGAUCUAUACCAGAUAGGUCCCACCUCCAGCCUUCCCCUGCUGCCAUCUAACAUCCUAAACUCCAGCUCUGAAUGUCUGUCUCCUGCUCU
rnacentral:lncRNA from 10 species